rnacentral:rRNA from 1 species
CUUGGGUGUACUUGCCCGUGUGGUUGGUUAACAUCAAUUUUGGUGGUCAUAAAAUGACUGGAGGAAUGUAGCUUUGAUCUUGUAUUGAAGUGUUAUAGCCUUCGGUAGAUGUGAUGAUCGAGAUUGAGGAUUGCAACGGAUACCCUUCGGGGCUACCUGUCUGGUCUCUGAUCGUUGCUCUGGUGCCGAAAGCUUGCUUACAGUUAUCAAAGUCGAUGGUCAAUAGGUUAGAACGGGUUAAAUUCGUUAAGGAGGUUGACGUAAA